rnacentral:rRNA from 1 species
UACAGAGGGGGCAAGCGUUGUUCGGAAUUACUGGGCGUAAAGGGCGCGUAGGCGGCCUGUUAAGUCGAACGUGAAAUCUCCGGGCUUAACCCGGAAACUGCCGUUGAUACUAUUUGUCUUGAAUAUUGUGGAGGUAAGCGGAAUAUGUCAUGUAGCGGUGAAAUGCUUAGAUAUGACAUAGAACACCAAUUGCGAAGGCAGCUUACUACACAAUGAUUGACACUGAGGCACGAAAGCGUGGGGAUCAAACAGG